GUCUAUGGCCAUACCACCCUGAACGUGCCUGAUCUCCGAUCUCGGAAGCUAAGCAGGGUUGGGCCUGGUUGGUACUUGGAUGGGAGACCACCUGGGACUACUGGGCGCCUGUAGUCC
rnacentral:rRNA from 1 species